UUGCGAGAGGGAAAGCUUAGAG
rnacentral:siRNA from 1 species